UACGUAGGGUGCAAGCGUUGUCCGGAAUUAUUGGGCGUAAAGAGCUCGUAGGCGGUCUGUCGAGUCUGCUGUGAAAACUCAGGGCUUAACCCUGAGCUUGCAGUGGGUACGGGCAGACUAGAGUGCGGUAGGGGAGACUGGAAUUCCUGGUGUAGCGGUGAAAUGCGUAGAUAUUGGGAGGAACACCAGUGGCGAAGGCGGCUCUCUGGGCUGGUACUGACGCUGAGGCGCGAAAGCGUGGGGAGCAAACAGG
rnacentral:rRNA from 1 species